GCGCCAUUAGCUCAACUGGCAGAGCAGCUGACUCUUAAUCAGCGGGUUCGGGGUUCGAGUCCCUGAUGGCGCA
rfam:Cellulomonas sp. 73-145 SCNpilot_cont_500_bf_scaffold_5, whole genome shotgun sequence.